rnacentral:piRNA from 1 species
GCAUAGAGAACUCCGCAUUAAAU